AUCCGGUUUUUGCAGCUGCCACCGUGCACUCUGCUAGACAUGUAUACUGUAUGCUAAUUGAGCACACUUUGUGCACGGGUCUGGCUGGAGGCUGUGACCUGACAAACUCAAGGGAGAGUCAAGUGAAACACCGGGUCCGUGAUCCGCUCGGGCUGCAGACUUCACAGCCUGCCAGAGAUGCAGACCGUGAAAUGCACACAGCUUGUACAAAGCUAGCAGCUCGCCAGUCCUCCGCCGCUGCGCAUGCGUGAGAAAACCCCUGGUUGAAUGAAGGUGCUUUGACAUCUGAGAGGCUUUGACUCACAGGAGGCUCCCAUCGCAGUUGGGCAUGGCAAGCACGAACGCUGUCGUCAGCCAUUUUGCCUUUUUCUUUUCCAACCAGACAACCUCAGGAGUGAGACGACAAAGGCGAAAAUCACGUCCGCGGACUCAGGAAGUUGUUUGAAUCGAGCUUAGCGACAAAAACGACGCCAAAAUUAAUAAACGUCCCCCAAGUGCCUACCCUGUGUGGGCUGGUGUUAAUGUCUGCGUUUGUUAUUGACGUCUGCAGCUGUCAGUCUGUGCACAGCAGGUGGAAGAGUCGAGCUGUGACACUCUUUAUAACCCUGUCGUCUGUCUCAGUUUAAUCCAUUUCUCUGUACUCGAGCAAAUUGCGUAUUUUUUUCAUGGUAAACCCUCAAUGUGAGCCAUGUAAGAUAGUCUAGACAUGGUUACAUUAAGUUAUAAUGUGCAUUAUUAUGUUGUUGUUUUUUAAAUUGUCUAUUGUUGAUUAAAGAAAACAUCAAUUGUUAAAAAAAUUGAAGAAAAUAAAAGAAAAUGCAAUACAGUA